rnacentral:tRNA from 1 species
GGGCGAAUGGUUUAGUGGUAUAAUACUCCCUUAGCAUGGUUCUUCAACUGAAUUUGUUGAUUGGGAGUGGUCCAGGGUUCGAUUCCCUGUUCGUCCA